GCCCGGAUGGUCUAGAGGUAUGAUUCUCGCUUUGGGUUCCCACCUUAGCAUGCGAGAGGUCCCCGGUUCGAUCCCGGGUUCGGGCC